UACGGAGGGUGCAAGCGUUACCCGGAUUCACUGGGUUUAAAGGGUGCGUAGGCGGGUAAGUAAGUCCGUGGUGAAAUCUCUGAGCUUAACUCAGAAACUGCCGUGGAUACUAUUUGCCUUGAAUAUUGUGGAGGUGAGCGGAAUAUGUCAUGUAGCGGUGAAAAUGCUUAGAUAUGACAUAGAACACCAAUUGCGAAGGCAGCUCACUACACAAUCAUUGACGCUGAGGCACGAAAAGCGUGGGGGAUCAAACAGG
rnacentral:rRNA from 1 species